UUGUUUGUUUGCUUGUUCGUUUGUUUGUUUGUUUGCUUGUUUGCUUGUUUGUUUGUUUGUUUGCUUGUUUGUUUGCUUGUUUGUUUGUUUGUUUGUUUUUUUGUUCGUUCUUCAGGAGGAUCUGGAGAAUGGUGAGGAGGUGGCCACGUGUCCGAGCUGUUCCCUCAUCGUUAAAGUCAUCUAUGAUAAGGAGCUGUUCAUGUCUGGAGAGAUUGUGGACGCUCCGUCAACGUCUUUGGAACCCAAACUGGAGCUGGUCCAGUCCUCCUGACUGCUGUCUCUAUUGGACUGAUCCCCUGAUCAAUCAGUUAAAGAGAUAAUGCUACAGCCACAGUUUCUUCUUCUGUGGUUUCAGCUCAUUGUCUGAUCUGUAAAUAUGUUUAAAUAUUAACUUGUCUCUGUGUUUAUAAUAAAAGCUUGAAACCUC